AAAGCCAAUUGCCUGAAAUUGACCUGUGGUAAAGCACCCAGGGAGCUACUGACUACAAAAGCCGCUUGCAAGAGUGCGCCCUCUACUGCAGAGAUGAAGAAACCCUAUCCUUACAGGCUUGCCACUGUGGCACUCCGGGAACGUAGACAUGCUCAGAAGUCCACCAAACCUCUGAUUGCAAACUUCCCUUCCAAUGUCUGGUGUGAAAAGUUGCUCAGAACUUUAAAACAGAUCUGUGUUGGCCUGUCUGUUUGGCCUUUUGAAGACACCGAGUUGUGUGCAACCCAUGCCAAACGUGUAACAACUAUGCCAAAAGACAUCCAGCUAACACACUGCCUACGUAGAGAACGUGCUUAA
rnacentral:lncRNA from 1 species